CUCCAGGGGCAUGUGCACACCCUGAUCACAUCCACCUCCCACACCUGUGCACCGCYUGUAGCUUGGGAUGAUCACGGAGCCCUGAUGGGUGACGAAUGCCCUCGUCUAUGAAUAUUUUCACACACGCUCGAAGUACGACAGAAUGUAUAUCAUAUUGCGUCUGAUAAACGUGACAAAUACAACUUUCAACAACGGAUCUCUUGGCUCUCGCAUCGAUGAAGAACGCAGCGAAAUGCGAUAAGUAAUGUGAAUUGCAGAAUUCAGUGAAUCAUCGAAUCUUUGAACGCACCUUGCGCUCCUUGGUAUUCCGAGGAGCAUGCCUGUUUGAGUGUCAUGAAAUCCUCAGCUGCCCCAGGCUUUUGUGGCCUGUGGGUGAAGUUGGACUUGGAGGUAUGCUGGCGCAUGAAUGGGCUUUGUGCCCUGCUGUGCUUGUCGGCUCCUCUUGAAUGUAUGAGCUUUCCAAUCCUUGGCAAAGUAUCGUCGAUGUGAUAAUUAUCUAUGUCGCCCGAGAAAGCCGUAAAGGGGAAAUCUUCGAUCAYGCUGGGGCAACMCCC
rnacentral:rRNA from 1 species